UUGGAACCGGGAGAGGUAAGAGGUACUACAGGGGUAGGAGUGAAAUCUUGUAAAUCCCUGUGGGACCAACCUGUGGCGAAGGCGUCUUACCGGAACGGGUUCGACGGUGAGGGACGAAAGCUGGGGGCACGAACCGGAUUAGAUACCCGGGUAGUCCCAGCCGUAAACGAUGCUCGCUAGGUGUCAGGCAUGGCGCGACCGUGUCUGGUGCCGCAGGGAAGCCGUGAAGCGAGCCACCUGGGAAGUACGGCCGCAAGGCUGAAACUUAAAGGAAUUGGCGGGGGAGCACAACAACGGGUGGAGCCCUGCGGUUUAAUUGGACUCAACGCCGGACAACUCACCGGGGGCGACAGCAAUAUGUAGGCCAAGCUGAAGACUUUGCCUGAAUCGCUGAGUAGAGGUGCAUGG
rnacentral:rRNA from 1 species